GGGGCUGUGGCCUAGUUCGGUUCAUGGCGCCUCCCUGUCACGGAGGAGAUCGCGGGUUCAAAUCCCGUCAGCCCCG
rnacentral:tRNA from 1 species